AACGAACGCUGGCGGCGUGCCUAACACAUGCAAGUCGAGCGCGAAUGGGAGCAAUCCCUAGUAGAGCGGCGCACGGGUGCGUAACACGUGGGUAAUCUGCCUGGAAGAUCGGAAUAACCUGCCGAAAGGCAAGCUAAUACCGGAUAAGCCCACGGGGACUUCGGUUCCUGAGGGAAAAGGUGGCCUCUGUACACAAGCUAUCACUUCCAGAUGAGCCCGCGGCCCAUCAGCUAGUUGGCGGGGUAACGGCCCACCAAGGCAACGACGGGUAGCUGGUCUGAGAGAACGAUCAGCCACACUGGACCUGAGACUCGGUCCAGACUCCUACGGGAGGCAGCAGUGGGGAAUUUUGCACAAUGGGCGAAAGCCUGAUGCAGCAACGCCGCGUGUGUGAUGAAGGUCUUCGGAUCGUAGAGCACUUUCGACCGGGACGAACACCCCUUGGCUAACAUUCAAGGGUCUGACGGUACCGGGAGAAGAAGCACCGGCUAACUCUGUGCCAGCCGCCGCUGUAACAC
rnacentral:rRNA from 1 species